AAGCGAAACGCCUCACCGAGGCGUCUAUCCAGCGUAGCGGCUGGGUACUGAUGAGCAGCUAACA
rnacentral:hammerhead_ribozyme from 1 species